rnacentral:tmRNA from 1 species
GCCUAAGCUUAGGCCGCUAUGCCAUCGAACGGAUGGGUGCCUGUUCCCCUCCGCCUCGGUGUUGCCCUCAAACAGGCUGGCGUGAAGUCGUGCACCAGGACCUAACGUGAGAAACCACUGAUGCUGGCUGUAGCGGACCUGUCGAUCGGUUACCGAAACAGUAAGACCCCGUAGAUCGAAGACACACGUGGUAGGCUUCGAUUCGUUCACUUCGGACCCGGGUUCGACUCCCGGCAUCUCCACAA